rnacentral:tRNA from 1 species
UGGCCCGUGGUGUAAUUGGCAACACAGCGGAUUCUGGCUCCGCCGUUCUAGGUUCGAGUCCUAGCGGGCCAG